ensembl:lncRNA
CCUGCAUCUUUCCACACAGUCAGGUACCUUCCAUUGGAGAGCUUUGACUCCCAAAAUGUCCUGAGAACAGAGCUGUCCGUUUGGCCCUCAUUUUCCUCCCCAUUCACCACGGAAAGCAGGGUCACAGCAGAGUGGCUCGUACCUGCUAACGAAGACACCAAUGAGCCUCUGGACUUUAUCUGCCAGCUCAGCCACGGAGUCGAGGCUGGCAGUCGGGCCUCGGUGCCCAGCCCGGCCCUGGAGCCCAGCGGCCUGCAGAGGAACCCAUGUGCAGAAACCUUUUAGAGCUCCAGCAAUCCGAUUAAGGCAGC